GAGCGCGCCCCCUAGGGCCAUCCCAGGCCCUGCCGUGCCGCCUCCGCUGCCACCGAGGCUGCCGCUGCGCCCUCCGCUACCCGUCCCGCGCUCGGGGUCCUCGGCCUCCGCGUCGUCCUCAUCCUCCUCCGGCGCCUCCUCGGCCGUGGCCCCGGGAGACAGAGACUCGGGAGCUGCAGCGAAAUAGCAACUGGCUGCAGAGGUCGCGUCCCGCUGCCCCGUCCCCGCCUGCGCGGACCAUCCUACCUGCCAUGGACGCUGUGUCCCGGCACAGCCUCCUCCGAGUGAACGGGCUCCUCCCCGCGCGGGGACACAGCAGUCUAUUGGUUACUGAAAAUGGGUGGGGAGGUUUGGCCCGCCGGGGGCGGAGGGGAUACGGAGCGGUUGGGUUGUGCUUGCACUGGAGUUGGAGCGAUCCGGUGCAAUUUGGCGAAACUAAAGCUGGAGGUUGGGGGAGACCUGGAGAAGGAAACAGGCCCAGGACCUUCUCAUUCAGGGACUAGAGAUACCAUACUCGAGGCCACCAGCUACUAGGUUGCAACUUUGAUCCCUGAGCAGGAGUGGCUCAGCUUUCAGGAAAGAGAUGGAAACCUUAGGUCUUGGGCCUGCCCACGCGCAGUUAAAGAAAUGAGGGAAGACCUUGGGACACAAGGGAAACUGAAGCAGAUGGUGAACUAGAGGGAAAAACAGACUCAGGACGCCGCCCCCCAUCCCCUGCUCUCAGGGGGACUAUACUCCCUUAGUGGGGCUGCAUCCUGGAGCUCAUGAUUCCCUCAGCCUACAGCAGCGAUGAAGGAAGCUGCUAGUGAGGCUAGUGCGCUAGCUAAAGGCAGAGCCCUUGAUGGUUGGGAGCAGGGAAGAAACAGGUUUGUAAGAAAUGUAGAGCCGCUUUAGGAAAGCAGCUGCGCGUUAUAGCUGGAUCGAAAGGUCUGAGCCUGGCCAGCUUUAGCCUUUCUAGGGUUAACUCAGCCCAAUGGCAGUUCUCAUCAGCCAAUCACCAGGUGCCUCCAGCAUCCAAUCAGCGACAAGGGAUGGUUCCCACUCAGCCAAUCGGCGUUCACGUGUAAUCAGCGAGCGGGAAGGGGCGGUGUUACUAGGCGCCCAAGGCCCUGGGCCUUUGUUCUCAUCCUGAUUUGUCCUUCAUCACAGAUUACCCCAACCCAGGGAGGUCUGAAAAUCCGGGUGGCCUCAAACUGGGGAAAGAGGCAGGAUGCUCUGGAAAGGUCUGAGUAAUGAGAAUCAUUCUUUUUUUUUUUUAAGAUUUGUUUAUUUAUUUAUUAUAUGUAAGUACACUGUAGCUGUCCUCAGACACUCCAGAAGAGGGAGUCAGAUCUCGUUAUGGAUGGUUGUGAGCCACCAUGUGGUUGCUGGGAUUUGAACUCCUGACCUUCGGAAGAACAGUCGGGUGCUCUUACCCACUGAGCCAUCUCACCAGUCCGAGAACCACUCUUCCCUUAGCCCAGGCCACCAGACUUUGGGCUCCAUAGUUUACCGCUUCCAAGUCCCGGCACAAUAUGCAGGUCUAACCAUCUUGUAAACAGGCAAAGCCUUGAGAGAGGCUCCAAGUUCUGCUCACUGGACGUUUUCAUCCUGUUUAUCUUCCACCUCGAUCCAAAAGGGACUUUUCUAUGAUGUAACUACUGCCACAUCCUAUCCUUGCGCUACAACAGUCCUUGGCUCCCGGCUAAUUUUUCUUUUCCUUCCUUCCACUUGCAGUGAUCCUCCUGCUCAGCCCCCUCCUGCUUACGUCAUAGGCUUGCAUCCCCACACCUAGCUCCCCUGUGGCCUUUGACACUUUGAAGCAACUACUGUGGCUUGACAAUGUACAGAAACCUAAAGAUAACAUUGGUUGAAGAUAAAGGAAGGUUGUGCCACUCACAGCCACUAUCUGGGUCCCCAUCUCCACCCUUUUACCUGUGUAAAGUCCAGGUGCCCUAGCUGGGAACUGAAGAAAAUGAGUUCACAAUCUGUUCUGCCUUUGCCUUUUGAAAAUAGCAUCUCGCAGGGCAGUGGUGGCCUGUGAUCCUAGCACUUGGGAGGCAGAAGCCGGUGGAUUUCUAAAUUCAACGCCAGCCUGGUCUACAGAGUGAGUUCCAGGACAGCCAGGGCAAUUCAGAGAAAUCCUGUCUUGAACCUCCGCCACCCCCCACCCCCCCAUCCCCAAAAUAGCAUCUCAGGCAGACCGCACUAGACUCAAGUUACUAUGUAACUACGGCUGCUCCGGUCUCUUCCUCCCAAGUUCUGGGAAAACCCAAAUGUACUACCACGCCUGGCCAAAUUUACAAUUACACACUGAUCAAUUGUACUGGAAUUGACCUUAGAGCCUUGUCCUAGCCAGGAGCCAGGUACACUACCACCACAAGCCAGGCGCCCAGGCCCUCUCAAGACCGUUCUUAGUGGGGGGCCUGGGGGCGUGGUCAGGGCAGAACCUCAGCGCAGAAUCACACUGGGAAGGGCUGUGUGUAACCGAUAGAGCACUUACUCAGGUUGUGCAAAGGGCUUGAGUUGCUUCUACAGCGACAAGGGGAAAAAAAAAAAAAAAGUAGAAAGCUAAAGAAAUAAACUGACUUG
rnacentral:lncRNA from 1 species